rnacentral:rRNA from 1 species
GACGUAGGGUGCCAGCGUUGUUCGGAAUUACUGGGUGUAAAGGGUUCGUAGGCGGUGUGGCAAGUCGGGAGUGAAAUCUCUGGGCUCAACUCAGAGACUGCUUCCGAAACUGCUGUGCUGGAGUGUGGGAGAGGCGCGUGGAAUUGCAGGUGUAGCGGUGAAAUGCGUAGAUAUCUGGAGGAACACCGGUGGCGAAGGCGGCGUCCUGGACCAACACUGACACUGAGGAGCGCAAGCCAGGGGAGCAAACGGG